rnacentral:lncRNA from 1 species
GGAUGUAGCUCAGUGGGAAAGCCUUGAGUUCCACCGCUGGUACAGUAAAAAGACAAAACAAAACACAAAACUACAGAAGCAAGCAGACCUGGCGCCUGGAGUCAACAUUCUUCCACUAUUGGCUGAGGUGCUCACUGAUGGCCGCCAGGCUGGAAAUGACUCCAUUUUAUGAAUGACGAAGCGGGGCUCAGGGGGGCUGGGAGGCUGCCCUUGCUCGCAGAGCUGGUGAGUGCGGAGGCAAGGUCACCUGCUCAGGGCCUCUGGGCCUGGUGGGAGGCUCCCCUGCAGCGCCCCGCCCCCGCUUGGGCCUCCCUAGAACACAACGGGAGAGAGGGGGUUGUUCGCCACCUAGCAGGCUGGCGGCUCGCCGGCUCCCCCUGCCGGCCCAUGCCCGCCUGCGCACCCAGGCUCAGCCUGAGGUUCAGCCCCGAGGACCGCGAGGGCGGUGAGUGCCUGCAGCAAAGGUCUCACCGCAUCAAGGAAUUCAAAAGGCAUCUGAGAACAGCACGAUGUCUCCACAGUCUGCUGAGAAAGUGCCACGGCGGACAAGGAGACACCCAGAACUGAGGGGAUUGAAUUCGAGAAACGCACAGCUGGCCAGUGAAAUCAGACACAGUAGGAAUCUACCAGUAAGACUGAACUCUCAGCCAGGUGUGAUGGUAAAGCUCUGUAAUCCCAGC